rnacentral:rRNA from 1 species
GAUGAACGCUGGCGGCGUGCCUAAUACAUGCAAGUCGAGCGAACAGACUAUUAUCUUGCUCCUCUGACGUUAUCGGCUGACGUGUGAUUAACACGUGUAUAACCUACCUAUAAGACUUGUAUAACUUCGGGAAUCCGUUUCUAAUACCGGUUAAUAUAUUUAACCUCAUUGUUCUAUAGUUUAUUUCUGUUUUUCUUUCACUUUUAGAUGUUUCCUCGCCGCAUUAGCUAGUUGGUAAGGUAACGGCUUACCAAGGCAACGAUGCGUAGCCGACCUGAGAGGGGGAGCGGACAAACUGGAACUGAGACACGGACCAGAAAACUACGGGAGGCAGCAGAAGGAAAUAUGCCGCAAAGGGCGAAAGCAUGACGGAGCAAAGCCGAGUGAGAGAGGAAGGUCUUAGGAUCGUAAAACUAUGUUAUUAGGGAAGAAAAAAUGUGUAAGAAAAAAUGAACGUAAUGACGGUAACAAAUCAGAAAGCAACGGCUAACUACGUG